rnacentral:rRNA from 1 species
UAGGGAAUCUUCGGCAAUGGACGAAAGUCUGACCGAGCAACGCCGCGUGAGUGAAGAAGGUUUUCGGAUCGUAAAACUCUGUUGUUAGAGAAGAACAAGGACGUUAGUAACUGAACGUCCCCUGACGGUAUCUAACCAGAAAGCCACGGCUAACUACUUGCCAGCAGCCGCGGUAAUACGUAGGUGGCAAGCGUUGUCCGGAUUUAUUGGGCGUAAAGCGAGCGCAGGCGGUUUCUUAAGUCUGAUGUGAAAUCCCCCGGCUAAAGCGGGGAGGGGCAUUGGAAACUGGGAGACUUGAGUGCAGAAGAGGAGAGUGGAAUUCCAUGUGUAGCGGGGAAAUGCGUAGAUAUAUGGAGGAACACAAGUGGCGAGGGCGGCUCUCUGGUCUGUAACUGACGCUGAGGCUCGAAAGCGUGGGGAGCAAACAGG